UGCUUUACACAUGCAAGUCGGACGGCAGCACGAAGAGCUUGCUCUUUGGUGGCGAGUGGCGAACGGGUGAGUAAUACAUCGGAACGUGCCCAGUCGUGGGGGAUAACGUAGCGAAAGCUACGCUAAUACCGCAUACGAUCUACGGAUGAAAGCGGGGGAUCGCAAGACCUCGCGCGAUUGGAGCGGCCGAUGGCAGAUUAGGUAGUUGGUGGGGUAAAGGCUCACCAAGCCUGCGAUCCGUAGCUGGUCUGAGAGGACGACCAGCCACACUGGAACUGAGACACGGUCCAGACUCCUACGGGAGGCAGCAGUGGGGAAUUUUGGACAAUGGGCGAAAGCCUGAUCCAGCCAUUCCGCGUGCAGGAUGAAGGCCCUCGGGUUGUAAACUGC
rnacentral:rRNA from 1 species